rnacentral:rRNA from 1 species
UACGUAGGUGACAAGCGUUGUCCGGAUUUACUGGGCGUAAAGAGCGCGCAGGCGGUCGAUCAAGUCGAGUGUGAAAGCCCCCGGCUCAACUGGGGAGGGUCAUUCGAUACUGAUCGACUCGAAGGCAGGAGAGGGUAGUGGAAUUCCCGGUGUAGUGGUGAAAUGCGUAGAUAUCGGGAGGAACACCAGUGGCGAAGGCGACUACCUGGCCCAUUCUUGACGCUGAGGCGCGAAAGCUAGGGGAGCGAACGGGG